rnacentral:rRNA from 1 species
CGCGAGUGAAGCGGGAUGAGCUCAAGCUUAAAAUCUCCAUACAAAUUUUGUAUGGCGAAUUGUAGUCUAUAGAUGCGUGAUCAGCGCGUGCACUUAGAGUAAGUUCCUUGGAAGAGGACAGCAUGGAGGGUAAUACUCCCGUCUAUCUCUAAGUUGCGUGUGCGUACGAUCCGUUUUCUUUGAGUCGCGUUGUUUGAGAAUGCAGCGCAGAGUAGGUGGUAAAUUCCAUCUAAAGCUAAAUAUUGGUGCGAGACCGAUAGCAUACAAGUACCGUGAGGGAAAGAUGAAAAGAACUUUGAAAAGAGAGUUAAAGAGUACCUGAAACUGCUGAAAGGUAACCAAAUCGUUUCCAGUGUCUAUAAUCCGUGGUAUAUUUCAUUGACGAGUGUGUUUGUGCAUGUACUAUGGCAGCUUCCUUUUUGGUAGCGCUUUGUGUGUGUGCGAUGUGUGCUUGUUGGUGCCCUGUACUGCGGUGGGACGUCAAGGUCAGUUCGUAUACUGCGACAAAUGACUGUUGAGGAGGUAGGGCUUACGCUUGCGUUUGUCUGUUAUAUCUUGAUAGACUAGUAGUUGCGGUUGGGACUGAGGUGCCUAUAACAUGCUUUUUGAGAAGGAUUGAAUCUCCGUGUGCGCCGUGUGCAAAUAGCUUGCUAUGUGCGUGUGGUUGUAUGUGGAUUGA